rnacentral:rRNA from 1 species
AUUGAACGCUGGCGGCAGGCUUAACACAUGCAAGUCGAGCGGGGUGAUGGUGCUUGCACUAUCACUUAGCGGCGGACGGGUGAGUAAUGCUUAGGAAUCUGCCUAUUAGUGGGGGACAACAUCUCGAAAGGGAUGCUAAUACCGCAUACGUCCUACGGGAGAAAGCAGGGGAUCACUUGUGACCUUGCGCUAAUAGAUGAGCCUAAGUCGGAUUAGCUAGUUGGUGGGGUAAAGGCCUACCAAGGCGACGAUCUGUAGCGGGUCUGAGAGGAUGAUCCGCCACACUGGGACUGAGACACGGCCCAGACUCCUACGGGAGGCAGCAGUGGGGAAUAUUGGACAAUGGGGGGAACCCUGAUCCAGCCAUUCCGCGUGAGUGAAGAAGGCCUUCGGGUUGUAAAGCUCUUUCGGCAGGGAAGAAACGGUGCCUCCUAAUACGAGGCGCUAAUGACGGUACCUGAAGAAGAAGCACCGGCUAACUACGUGCCAGCCGCCGCGGUAA